rnacentral:rRNA from 1 species
GACGAACGCUGGCGGCGUGCUUGACACAUGCAAGUCGAACGGAAAGGCCCUGCUUUUGUGGGGUGCUCGAGUGGCGAACGGGUGAGUAACACGUGAGUAACCUGCCCUUGACUUUGGGAUAACUUCAGGAAACUGGGGCUAAUACCGGAUAGGAGCUCCUGCUGCAUGGUGGGGGUUGGAAAGUUUCGGCGGUCGGGGAUGGACUCGCGGCUUAUCAGCUUGUUGGUGGGGUAGUGGCUUACCAAGGCUUUGACGGGUAGCCGGCCUGAGAGGGUGACCGGCCACAUUGGGACUGAGAUACGGCCCAGACUCCUACGGGAGGCAGCAGUGGGGAAUAUUGCACAAUGGGCGGAAGCCUGAUGCAGCAACGCCGCGUGCGGGAUGACGGCCUUCGGGUUGUAAACCGCUUUCGCCUGUGACGAAGCGUGAGUGACGGUAAUGGGUAAAGAAGCACCGGCUAACUACGUG